rnacentral:rRNA from 1 species
UACAGAGGCUGCAAGCGUUAUUCGGAUUCACUGGGCGUAAAGGGUGCGCAGGCGGUUGGGUGUGUCAGAUGUGAAAUCCCGAGGCUUAACCUCGGAACUGCGUCUGAAACUACUCGACUAGAGUACUGGAGAGGGAAACGGAAUUCACGGUGUAGCAGUGAAAUGCGUAGAUAUCGUGAGGAACACCAGAGGCGAAGGCGGUUUCCUGGACAGUUACUGACGCUCAGGCACGAAAGCAUGGGGAGCAAACAGG